rnacentral:rRNA from 1 species
AUUGAACGCUCGCGGGAUGCUUUACACAUGCAAGUCGAACGGCAGCGCGGACUUUGGUCUGGCGGCGCGUGGCGAACGGGUGAGUAAUGUAUCGGAACGUGCCCAGUAGCGGGGGAUAACUCCGCGCAAGCGUCGCUAAUAUCGCACACGCCCUCCGGGGGAAAGAGGGGGAUCGUAAGACCUUGCACUCUUGGAGCGGCCGAUAUCGGAUUAGCUAGUUGGUGAGGUAACGGCUCACCAAGGCGACGAUCCGUAGCUGGUUUGAGAGGACGACCAGCCACACUGGGACUGAGACACGGCCCAGACUCCUACGGGAGGCAGCAGUGGGGAAUUUUGGACAAUGGGGGCAACCCUGAUCCAGCCAUCCCGCGUGUGUGAUGAAGGCCUUCGGGUUGUAAAGCACUUUUGGCAGGAAAGAAACGUCGCGGGCUAAUACCCCGGGGAACUGACGGUACCUGAAGAAUAAGCACCGGCUAACUACGUG